rnacentral:rRNA from 1 species
AUUGAACGCUAGCGGGAUGCUUUACACAUGCAAGUCGAACGGCAGCGCAGACUCCGGUCUGGCGGCGAGUGGCGAACGGGUGAGUAAUGUAUCGGAACGUGCCCAGUAGCGGGGGGAUAACUACGCGAAAGCGUGGCUAAUACCGCAUACGCCCUACGGGGGAAAGGGGGGGAGUCUUCGGACCUCUCACUAUUGGAGCGGCCGAUAUCGGAUUAGCUAGUUGGUGGGGUAAAGGCCUACCAAGG